ACAAAACCCCCCACACACAUCAAACAUUUUCACAGCUCCCUUUUUUGCAGUAAACACUCUUAUAUUUUCACGGUUAAUUCUCUCUUCCAAAGUCCAAACCCAAACCAUAGCCGCCACCACCUCUCUCUAGAAAUCUGGUUGCCACCACCUCUUGAAUCUUGGUUGCCAUCGAGACUUUGGAUGUACCUAAAGCAUCUCUUUUUCAUUGUGGGUAACUGGGUAUAAAUUGUUAAGAAUGACCGACUAAACCGAGCCGCACCGGUGCUCAAAUACCGCACCGAUGGACGCCGGAGAACCGAUCUCUAUUGACGAUGAACGGAGGUGGUGGAGAGGUAACCGAUACCGAUGGUGCGGUGGCAAAUUUGCCCAAAAACCGCACCGGGUAAUUUAAGAGAUUCAGCUUCAGCCUUGUGAAGGACUAAAUCUCAAAGACAAAGGCUUAAAGGGCUCCUGGGUAUUUUCUCAUACUAAUGUAUAAUUUUUUUUUGAGUUCACUAAUGUUUGAAUUUUUUUUUCUAUGCUAUUUGAUUUUGUUUUAAGGGUUAUUUUUUAUUUUGUUUUCAGUUCACCACGUUGUGUCGAACUUUCAUGUUUGUGCUUGAUUUUGCUUUUAGGUUUUUCUUUUUAAGGUUCACUCAUGUUAUUUACUGUUUGAUUUUGUUUCUAGGGUUCACAGAUUGCAAAUUUAUUUGUUGAUCAUCAAUUUUAUUGAUUAUACUAUUGUGAUUUUAGUUUAUUAUAUCAUGCUAUUGAUUGAUUAUGCUGUUGUGAUUUUAGUUUAUUAUAUCAUGCUAUUUUAGUUUAUAAAGAAGUCAAAAUGGGCUCAAAAUGAUAUUUUUUGAAGGCCCAAAAGCCCAAAACUUAGAAUUUUAAUCUUUAAAAGUCCAGCCUAUAUAACCGAAUGAACUGCACUGAGCCGCUAUGAUUAUCCGCAUUUUGUGUAGAUCGAUUCUUACCUUCCAAAAGUGAGGUGCGCGGUCAAGCAUAGGAUGAAACUGUACCCUAUAGACGUGGUGCAAAAAACCUCUCCAAAACCGACCAGACCAAACCGAACUGAGUACAUCAUUUAGGCAUAAUCUGAUAGUUAUUUGGGCUUUUGAAAUAAAAAUAAAUAUAAGGAUAAAAUAAGAAGAUGGGUUGAUUGGGGUUUUGUGUUUAGGCCGGAUUGGACUCAUUGGGUCGGCUGCCAUUUAAAACUAGAAACCUCAUAAGCCCACUCCACUAAAAAUGCCCAAACCCACGCAUUUAAAAAAAAAAAAAAAAAAAAAAAAAGCUGCAGCCAGCUUAACCUUUAAACCCAGCUCCAACUCAAGAUUCUUUUUAUUAGACUCAAGCCCAUCAGCUCACAUAAUUCCACAAAGCCCAAUCCGUGUGCAAAUUAGAGCCAGCAAACUGAAUUUGAACCCAACAACAGCUCGAUCCGAAUCUAUUUGGCCCAAUAACCACUUCCACACCAGCCCACUGACAUUCAAACAAAUACCCACUC